UCCCUUGAGGACUAGUGGUUAGGCCACAGCGAACUCUCUGCUGCAGCCUGGGUUCGAUUCCCUGCCAGGGAA